rnacentral:rRNA from 1 species
GACAGAGGUGCCGAGCGUUAGGCGGAAUCACUGGGCUUAAAGCGUGUGUAGGCGGACCGUUAAGUACCUUGUGAAAUCCCCCGGCUCAACCGGGGAACGGCUGGGUAUACUGGCGGUCUUGAGCCAUCCAGGGGCAGUCGGAACAGACGGUGGAGCGGUGAAAUGCAUAGAUAUCGUCAAGAACACCUAUAGCGAAGGCAGCUUACUGGGCUGUAACUGACGCUGAGGCACGAAAGUGUGGGGAUCAAACAGG